ACCUUCAUAGUAGAAGGAUUUAAUGGAAGGUAUAACAUGUAACAUAACAAUGGGUUUUAACCGGUCGAUAACCAAAAUAACAUAAUAAGAGAAUAAAGCUAAAGGCAACUAAAAAAGUAGACAAAGUCGAUUAUUUUUUUCAAGCAAACGAUAACUUAAUUUUUAUGAAUGGAAAGGUUUUCGAAAGCAGGAAGAGAUUCUUCCUUGAUGCCGGCAAAGAAAACAUCAGGAGUCGUACAAGCACCAAGAGCCCGACGCAUAUGCGAAUUACAGAAUGUAAGGCCGACUUCGUAACUGGCAUUAACCCAUCCAAAACCUUCGCGAGCAACGCCUUUGAUAUUGACACCCUGAUUACCAUACUCAGCUUCAACAC